ACUUUCUCCCAGCAGAAUAUGAUAAGAGGCAGGCUGUUUCUUAUGGCCCAAACCCCCAUGGAAUGUUUCACUUUGACCAAGGUCUGAGAAAUGGCGGUGGGGGAGGCUUACAAAGUGGUGUAGUUUGGACUAACAUUCUUGCCUUCUACUUUAAUAUAAAAGGGAAAGGGGUGUUGUUGACUAUCUGGUUGCUUCCUGCUGAACAGGGGCUCUGUUAUCAGGGUUGGGGUUUUGAAGUAGUGGGUGUCCAACUUCAGAGUUGUUUUCCUGGAGCUGCUGAUACCAAACUUGGCAGAGGAGAAGGAUGGCAUCAAUGGGUUUCUGGGUGGUUGCCUGGACAAGGGAGUUCAGCCUUCGGGAGAUAAAGCAGGAUAUGCAGCAAGUGCAUGUCAUUGGCCCUGAUGCCUUUCCUCUGGACACCCCUGUUUGAACCUCAACUCUGGUUCUCAGAACCACACCAUCAGUGGUAAGGCUGGUGCAGCAGAAAGACAGAGAAAGGAUGUUUGAACACUUGAACAUUCUGCACACUUGAUUCAGGUCAUGCGAUCCUUCUACCUGCUUGUACUCUAUCUCACAUGGGAUAACAUACCCCAUUUCCACUCCUCCCCCUUACUUUUUACCCUGUGUUUUAAAUUGACUGUAACUGUGCAAUUACAGCACCUAAUGUGGUCUGUGAGCCUAUCUGUUCUAUGACCUCUGGGAUAGCUUGUCUGGUAGUGUACCUUAGGCUACCAAAGUAUCAAGGCAUUUUCCUCCAUGAUAGAUGUGCUUUAUUCAUACAACAUUUGUGUUUCUAAGAUUAAUCUAUGUUGUUUCAUGCAGCUACAGUUUCUUCAUUUUCACUGCUGUAUGAUAUUGCAUUAUUUUUAGAUUAAAGGUGUUUGGGUUAAUUUUUCUUAUCAACUAUUAAACCUGCCUUAAAUAUGAA